rnacentral:rRNA from 1 species
UACGUAGGGUGCAAGCGUUGUCCGGAAUUAUUGGGCGUAAAGAGCUCGUAGGCGGUUUGUUGCGUCGGCUGUGAAAUCCCGAGGCUCAACCUCGGGUCUGCAGUCGAUACGGGCAGACUAGAGGUAUGCAGGGGAGAACGGAAUUCCUGGUGUAGCGGUGAAAUGCGCAGAUAUCAGGAGGAACACCGGUGGCGAAGGCGGGUCUCUGGGCAACAACUGACGCUGAGGAGCGAAAGCGUGGGGAGCGAACAGG